rnacentral:misc_RNA from 1 species
GGAGGUUUGUCUUUAGGUCUUGGCUGAGUAGUGGGGUGAGCCAAGGAAGAUGAAGCCAGAUAACUCUUAGAUGAGUUUGAAUAAUUUUUAGACACAAACCCAAUAGACUCAGAGAGCUUCCUAGUAGGAGGGAAACCCAUGGAGACCCAGACAACAGCUAUAACUCACUCUCCACUUCACGAGCUAACGUCAUAGUUCGAG